CCAAGAUUCAGGCAAAACGAGGCCCUUUUUCCUUCAAAAGCGGUGCCCUUUUUGCAAGGGCUUAUGUUUCUAUUUUCCUCCCUGAAAAACAGUGUUGUUUUCACAAGAAAAUCAACUCUAUUUUGCCUAAAUCCCUUGGUUUCUUACAACCCCCUACGUGACCUCACCCUCACUCCCCCAGUUUCACACUUUCACCUUCCUUUCUCACUUGAAAACCCUAAGUCCCACUACUGCUAGCCCAUUGUCGUCGAUCACGUUUGGAUCUCUUCCCCUGCCAUGCGAAUGCCAUCCCUCGACUCCUCCUCGUUGUCUGACCCUUCACAUAGUCUCAGACCCAUCAUCCACUCUCAGUCGCAUUUGUAACCACUACUCAUUGACGUGGGUUGGGAAUCUUGAAAAUGGGUAGAUUCUUAUCAGGCAUUUUGUGAAUCUAGUUGUGAUAUGAUUUGUGUUUUUGGGGCUCUGGGUAUGAUUUAAAUUUAACUUCUUUUGGGCUAUGUAAUUGUGUUUUUGUCAAAAAAAAUUUGGGGAUGUUAGUAUGAUUUAAUUACAUUUGGGACUUUGUUUUUUCAAUGUAUGUUUCUGUUAAUAUGUUAAUAUGUUUCUAAUUUGGGUCUAUGUAAUAGUAUGAUUUCAGCGGGGCUGUUAAUCUUAGUAGAUUUCACGACUUUGUCGGAUUUGGCAUUCAAAAAAUGCAGUCGGCGUGCAGUCGUGCAGUCGGAAAAUACUUUAACCCUCCUAUUACCUAUGCAUAUGUUCAUGAUUUUCAUACUGAUAUAUUAUGUAGGUCCAAAAAUAUUUCUAACUAAAAUCUUUUCAUAUUUUUUUGUAGGCACAACUUGGAAGUGAGAAUGGCAGCGUGGCACAUGGAACAUUUAAAGUAUUUUGGUUUAUUUGUUGGGUAUUGAUAUUUGUUAUUGAGAACAUUUAAGUUAGUUGGCACUUAGAAAAUAUUUGUUGUAGUAGUUGUAAAAAAAUAUUAUCAUGAUUGAUGUGGAUGAUUGGUGGGGAUGAUUUUGAAUGCGGUUGAUGGAUUAUGGGUGUGGAUGUUUAUUGUAGUGAUUAGUUGGAUGUGCACGUGGAUGAUGGAUGAAUGAUGAUGGGAGUGGAUGUUUAUUGUAGUGAUUAGUCCGUUCUAAUUAUUAUUUUUUUUAAUUUUUUGAAGCA